GAUGAACGCUAGCGGCAGGCUUAAUACAUGCAAGUCGAGGGCAGCGCGGGUAGCAAUACCUGGCGGCGACCGGCGCACGGGUGCGUAACGCGUAUGUAAUCUACCAUUAACCGGGGAAUAGCCCAGAGAAAUCUGGAUUAAUGCCCCAUAGCAUUAUUGGAAGGCAUCUUUUGAUAAUUAAAGAAUUUCGGUUUUGAUGAACAUGCGUGUCAUUAGUUUGUUGGUGAGGUAACGGCUCACCAAGACUACGAUGACUAGGGGGUCUGAGAGGAUGAUCCCCCACACUGGUACUGAGACACGGACCAGACUCCUACGGGAGGCAGCAGUAAGGAAUAUUGGGCAAUGGAGGCAACUCUGACCCAGCCAUGCCGCGUGAAGGAUUGACGGCCCUCUGGGUUGUAAACUUCUUUUGUACGGGAAUAACCCUCCGAACGUGUUCGGAGCUGAAGGUACCGUAAGAAUAAGGAUCGGCUAACUCCGUG
rnacentral:rRNA from 1 species